GUUCCUCUCUAACGCCCAGUUUCCUCAUUUUCUACAAGCAAAUGCAGAAUCUUCAAGGCUUUCCCUUUCAGUUCUGAAGAGCCCGCAGCUCUAGCAGGCACGCGGGGCCUUGUGUGAAGAAGUCUUGGUUUCAUUUCGUAACUUGGGCCCCUCAGUGCUUCCCAGCUAAGGCUGGGAACCGGACCAAGAUUCAUUGACAAAUGAAGAGUGUGUGCAGAGCUUCGCUACUCAGAUAAUAACAAAGAAACCUUAAACAUGAAAAAAACACAUGAAAGAGAUGAAAACCUUUUCGAAGCUGACAAGCCAUCAAUUGGGUGCCACCCGGGAAGAGAAGCCAUGGUGUGCAGCUCUGCAUUCUAGCCUCACAGGCAGGAGAAGAUGGGACUGCCAUACAUGGCCAAUGGGUCGUCCUGGGUUUGGGAGAUCUU